CGGUACGUGCUGAUCCGC
rnacentral:misc_RNA from 1 species